rfam:Canis lupus familiaris chromosome 32, whole genome shotgun sequence.
GAGUCACCUGGCAGAGACAUCUGCUACCACAUGGACCUCAGGAUUGUCUUGGCACCUUUGCCUGGCAUGGCAGGUGUCUACAUCUUCCUUCACAACUUCAAGUUAAUCUUUCCACAUCUGCAGUUUCUGGGAAAGAUGUCACUCUUCCCACAUAGAGGGAGAUGUUUCUAAAUUAAGGUUAUGGAAAUAAGAAGGUAGAUUUUUAGAGCUUCUAGAGCCAAAUCUCAAAGCCCCCCUGCCAAAAAAAGUAUGUUGAUUUUCAUUUAUUUCUAGAAAAUUACCUGUCAGGGGUAGGUAGUUUUCACU